rnacentral:tRNA from 1 species
UGGCUCAGAUGGUAAAGUGUCUGCCUGCAAUGCAGGAGACCCAGGUUCUAUCCCUGG